GAUCAUGGCUCAGGAUGAACGCUAGCUACAGGCUUAACACAUGCAAGUCGAGGGGCAGCAUGGUCUUAGCUUGCUAAGGCCGAUGGCGACCGGCGCACGGGUGAGUAACACGUAUCCAACCUGCCGUCUACUCUUGGACAGCCUUCUGAAAGGAAGAUUAAUACAAGAUGGCAUCAUGAGUUCGCAUGUUUCACAUGAUUAAGUAAUCGUCGACG
rnacentral:rRNA from 1 species